GCCGAAGUGGUGGAAUUGGCAGACGCGCUAGAUUCAGGGUCUAGUGGGAGUUAAUCCCGUGCGGGUUCAAGUCCCGCCUUCGGCACCA
rnacentral:tRNA from 1 species